GCCUCUGUAGCUCAGUUGGUUAGAGCGCUGCACUGGAAUAGUAGAGCCACAGGUUCGAUUCCUGUCAGAGGGC